rnacentral:rRNA from 1 species
GAUAAACGCUGGCGGCGCACAUAAGACAUGCAAGUCGAACGAACUUAACCAUUAGUUUACUAUUGGAGCGGUUAGUGGCGGACUGGUGAGUAACACGUAAGCAACCUGCCUAUCAGAGGGGAACAACAGUUAGAAAUGACUGCUAAUACCGCAUAAGCCUUAGCAACGCAUGUUGCAAAAGGAAAAGGAGCAAUCCGCUGAUAGAUGGGCUUGCGUCUGAUUAGCUAGUUGGUGAGGUAACGGCCCACCAAGGCGACGAUCAGUAGCCGAACUGAGAGGUUGGACGGCCACAUUGGGACUGAGAUACGGCCCAGACUCCUACGGGAGGCAGCAGUCGGGAAUAUUGCGCAAUGGAGGGAACUCUGACGCAGUGACGCCGCGUGCAGGAAGAAGGUUUUCGGAUUGUAAACUGCUUUAGACAGGGAAGAAGAAAGACAGUACCUGUAGAAUAAGCUCCGGCUAACUACGUGCCAGCAGCCGCGGUAAUACCGUAGGGAGCAAGCGUUAUCCGGAUUUAUUGGGUGUAAAGGGUGCGUAGACGGGGAAUCAAGUUAGUUGUGAAAUCCCUUGGCUUAACUGAGGAACUGCAACUAAAACUAAUUUUCUUGAGUGCUGGAGAGGAAAGUGGAACUCCUAGUGUAGCGGUGAAAUGCGUAGAUAUUAGGAAGAACACCAGUGGCGAAGGCGACUUUCUGGACAGUAACUGACGUUGAGGCACGAAAGUGUGGGGAGCAAACAGGAUUAGAUACCCUGGUAGUCCACACCGUAAACGAUGGAUACUAGGUGUAGGAUGUGAUAAACAUUCUGUGCCGUCGCAAACGCAGUAAGUAUCCCACCUGGGGAGUACGGCCGCAAGGUUGAAACUCAAAGGAAUUGACGGGGGCCCGCACAAGCAGUGGAGUAUGUGGUUUAAUUCGACGCAACGCGAAGAACCUUACCAGGGCUUGACAUAUACAGGAAUAACUAAGAGAUUAGUUAGCUCUUCGGAGUCUGUAUACAGGUGGUGCAUGGUUGUCGUCAGCUCGUGUCGUGAGAUGUUGGGUUAAGUCCCGCAACGAGCGCAACCCCUGUUCUUAGUUGCCAGCAUGUAAAGAUGGGAACUCUAAGAAGACUGCCGGUGACAAAUCGGAGGAAGGUGGGGACGACGUCAAAUCAUCAUGCCCUAUAUGUCCUGGGCUACACACGUACUACAAUGGCUAUGACAAAGAGAAGCGAAACCGCGAGGUGGAGCAAAACUCAAAAAAGUAGUCUCAGUUCAGAUUGAAGGCUGAAAUUCGCCUUCAUGAAGGCGGAAUUGCUAGUAAUGGCAGGUCAGCAUACUGCCGUGAAUACGUUCCCGGGCCUUGUACACACCGCCCGUCACACCAUGAGAGUUGGGGAUACCC